rnacentral:rRNA from 1 species
AUCGAACGCUGGCGGCAGGCCUAACACAUGCAAGUCGAACGAGUGGCGGACGGGUGAGUAAUGUCUGGGAAACUGCCUGAUGGAGGGGGAUAACUACUGGAACCGGUAGCUAAUACCGCAUACCCUCGGAUGUGCCCAGAUAGGAUUAGCUAGUUGGUGGGGUAAAGGCUCACCUAGGCGACGAUCCCUAGCUGGUCUGAGAGGGUGACCAGCCACACUGGAACUGAGACACGGUCCAGACUCCUACGGUAGGAAGCAGGGGGGAAUAUUGGACAAUGGGCGAAAUCCUGAGGCAGCCAUGCCGCGUGUAUGAAGAAGGCCUUGGGGUUGUAAAGUACUUUCAGCGGGGAGGCGGUACCCGAAGAAGAAGCAACGGCUAACUACGUGCCAGCAGCCGCGGUAAUUC